UUUUUUGUCUGUGUGUGGGUGUGAUGGUUCGUAUAUGGUUACUUUCUUCAACAAUCAUGAAUUGUAAGUUGGUGUGCAAUCUUUUUCAUACAUUGGAAACUGCAAACAUAACAGUUUUGAUUAGCAAGAAUCUACAUGAGGAAAAGUGUACAUUCUUCGCCUAAAAAUAAGUCAUCUGGUGUAGAAGAACACAGUGCUUUCUUCAGUCUUCACCUAAAAAUAAGUCAUCUGGUGUAGAAGAACACAGCGCUUUCUUCAGUCUUCAUCAGUUACAGAUUUGUUUUUUGAAUAGCAGUUACAGAUAUUUAGGAUAGUCAAUUUUAAUGGCAUGUUAACC
rnacentral:lncRNA from 1 species